rnacentral:rRNA from 1 species
GACGAACGCUGGCGGCGUGGAUUAGGCAUGCAAGUCGAACGGUAUCAUCCUUUCGGGGGUGAGAGAGUGGCGAACUGGUGAGUAACACGUAGGUUAUCUACCCUCAAGACGGGGACAACCCAGGGAAACUUGGGCUAAUACCGGAUGUGAGCAACUUUUAGUUGUUUGAAAGGUGGCGUAAGCUGUCGCUUGGGGAUGAGCCUGCGUCCUAUUAGUUAGUUGGUGAGGUAACGGCUCACCUAGGCAAUGAUAGGUAGGCGGCCUUAACGGGUGGUCGCCCACACUGGGAUUGAGAUACGGCCCAGACUCCUACGGGAGGCAGCAGUCGAGAAUAGUCUACAAUGGUCGGAAGACUGAUAGUGCGACGCCGCGUGAACGAUGAAUCCCUUCGGGGUGUAAAGUUCUUUUAUAUGUGAGCAGUGCUUCUUAUAUUAACAGUAUGGGGAGAGAGAUAUUAGCAUAUGAAUAAGAACGGCUAACUCCGUGCCAGCAGCCGCGGUAAU